CCUACGGGUGGCAGCAGUGAGGAAUAUUGGUCAAUGGCCGUAAGGCUGAACCAGCCAAGUCGCGUGAAGGAAGAAGGAUCUCUGGUUUGUAAACUUCUUUUAUAGGGGAAUAAAGGUAUCCACGUGUGGAUAUUUGCAUGGUCCCUAUGAAUAAGCAUCGGCUAACUCCAUGCCAGCAGCCGCGGUAAUACUGAGGAUGCGAGCGUUAUCCGGAUUUAUGGGGUUUAAAGGGUGCGUAGGUUGUUUUUUAAGUCAGCGGUGAAAGUUUGUGGCUCAACCAUAAAAGUGCCGUUGAAACUGGAAGACUUGAGUGUGUUUGAGGUAGGCGGAAUGCGUGGUGUAGCGGUGAAAUGCGUAGAGAUCACGCAGAACUCCGAUUGCGAAGGCGACUUACUAAGCCAUAACUGACACUGAAGCGCGAAAGCGUGGGGAUCAAACAGGAUUAGAUACCCGUGUAGUC
rnacentral:rRNA from 1 species